UGUGAAAAUGGAAGAGAACUUGAUCGCUUGAGAAACCUUGAAAGGAGGCUUAUACAUUGAAAGGUAAAAUUAUGCUUGAAAACUAAAUUGAUCAUUGUGAAAAAAGUAAAGCUUGUGUUGGAAAAGUAAAUUGAGCACUUUACAGAAAAUUAAAUUUGUGCAUUGAAAAAGUAAAUUGAUUGCUUUGCAUAAAAGUAAAUUGAUUGCUUUGAGAAAAUUAAAUCAUUGUUGGAAAGGUAAAUUGUCCAUUGAAAAUUAAAUUAGCAAAUUGUUUGAAAAGAAAUAGGGACAAGAAAGUCAUAGAUUGCAUUGAAAAUCGAAAAGAUUGCGUACAUUAAUUGAAAUAGGUGCAGAGAAAAUGUAAAUUUCUUGCUUGAAUUGAAAAUAAAAUGCUGGAAUUGAAACUGAA
rnacentral:misc_RNA from 1 species